GCCCCCUGCUGAAAAAGUUUGCUGACCCCUGGUGUAUACAUUUAUUUUUAUUUAUUCUGCUAAGAUCCUGUCCUUCUUCCAUGAAUGAUCUCAAGAUGUCAUAAAUUGGGUUCCCAGGUAGUCUUCCACCCAGGCACUUCUUGGAUCCAGAUUUGCAGCAGCAUGUCAACGUGCAUAAAUUAGGGAAUGCUACUCUAAUCAGAUCCAUGCCUAAUGGUUAAUAAUGUUUGAAACUGCAUAGUAGGCUUAUGACAAUGGUGAAACAGUUUAUUCAUGGUGAAAUACUUUAUACCAUUCCAUACAAAAUGUGUAACUCUUUAAGAUGUCACAUGGGUCUUUGUUCUUUUUAUUCAUGAGGGAGCUCUAUUCCCUGGCUAAAUGAGUGAAGUGAUUGAUAUGUGGCUUAAAACACACAAUCACAGCUAUUUUCCUCUUUUAUCUCUCUACUCAUGACAGCCUUUUGCUUAGUUUAUAAGAUCUUGCUUAGUUUAUAAGAUCUGACAAGAUCACAACCCAUGGCACUAUGGCUGCAGGCUACUACCGCAUUUUAUUUUAUUGUUCUAUUAUUCAUUUGUAACCCUGAAGAGACAAGGAGCCACUGUAUAACAAAGCAAAACACUGUCUAGGUCACCAUGCAAGGUAUGAAUAUAAGAAUACUGUAUUGAAGUUAAGGAUAAAAUCGUGCAAUUUGAAAAUUGGGUGUUUUCUUGUUUACUUGUAUAGAAUUAUAAAAAUUACAUUAGCCAAAAUUCAAACCAGUUCCAAAGGUAUACUCUUGUUCCCUGUUUUACAUAAAGCCAGGACUGAUGGCAGCAAGGACCCCUUCACCUUAUUUAGGGAUCAGUAUAGGUGUUAAUUGCUUUGGAUUCAAUGCGCUGGAAGAUCAAGAGUGUAUCUGAGUUGCACUUGACCUACUUUGAGAAAGUGGAGGCUGGUCCAUUACUAGAGCCUGGGGUAUGGCCCCACCAACUUCAGCCUGCCCUCAGCCAGCCUCCAUCAGCCAGCCUCUUUUUUUAUACCCAGUCCAGAGGCUAACCCUGGCUGUCAGCUUCCUCCCCUCCUAGUCUCAGGUUUGUCGUGGUUGGACUCAAGAUAAAGACAAAACUAGGAUUAGUUUAUUCUACUUGUCCUUGGCUCGGAUACCACCUACUUUUGGCUUCCUGGCUUCCUCCCCACCAGUCCUAAUGAGCACAACCCACCACUGUUGUGAAAUAAGGAUAUUAAUGCUAGUAUAAAUACUAGAAAUAUGUUCCACUGUUUAAUGAAAUAAUUAAUUUUCCAGCACCUUGUUGUAAAUUACAUAUAUUAAUAUGCCUGCCUAUGGCAUAUGGGGGUUCCACGUAUAGCUCUGGUGGCAGUGACCCAGUAGUACUUUAUUCAGCUAAGCAGAAUCAACA